UACGGGGGGGGCAAGCGUUGUUCGGAAUUACUGGGCGUAAAGGGUUCGUAGGUUGCCAACUAAGUCAGACGUGAAAUCCCUCAGCUUAACUGGGGAACUGCGUCUGAGACUGGAUGGCUUGAGUGCAGGAGAGGAACGCGGAAUUCCAGGUGUAGCGGUGAAAUGCGCAGAUAUCAGGAGGAAUACCGGUGGCGAAGGCGGCAUCCUGGACCGACAUUGACGCUGAGGUGCGAAAGCGUGGGGAGCAAACAGG
rnacentral:rRNA from 1 species